rnacentral:lncRNA from 1 species
CCCCGUGCGAGUGUCUCCCUCUCCCUCUCGCUCCCUCUCUCUCUCCCUCUCUCUCUCUUUUGUGAGUUAUAGCAACCGUUGCCUUGUGAAUCAAGCGCCAUAGUCACCGUAGUCCUGGCGACUGUUACCCAUCAACAACAACUACUCCUCUCCUCCUCCUCCUCCUCUUCCUCCUCCUCCUCCCCACCACCACCAUCUCCAUCACCCACCAACAACACCACAAUAAUCCACAGCCAAGGUGAAUAUUCUUCGGUCUCUACAUGUGUGUGGGAGCGUGUGGAUGCGUGUGAACGCGUGUGUCCGUGCGUGUGUGUGUGUUCGUGUGUGCGAGCGGAGCGUGGCUGUGCGGGGUCUCACUCCUGACACCGGGCUGCUGCUGCGGCGCGGCAGCCGAGGGGCUCUGUCCCCGGCUUGUUUACAAUGGACCCUGCGCGCCGCGGCGGGGUCGGGGGUGUGGGCGCCGCGCCGCCCGCUGG